rnacentral:rRNA from 1 species
GAUGAACGCUAGCUACAGGCUUAACACAUGCAAGUCGAGGGGAAACGAUAGAGAAAGCUUGCUUUUUCUAGGCGUCGACCGGCGCACGGGUGAGUAACGCGUAUCCAACCUGCCCAUCACUUGGGGAUAACCUUGCGAAAGUAAGACUAAUACCCAAUGACGUCUCUAGAAGACAUCUGAAGGAGAUUAAAGAUUUAUCGGUGAUGGAUGGGGAUGCGUCUGAUUAGCUUGUUGGCGGGGUAACGGCCCACCAAGGCGACGAUCAGUAGGGGUUCUGAGAGGAAGGUCCCCCANAUUGGAACUGAGACACGGUCCAAACUCCUACGGGAGCAGCAGUGAGGAAUAUUGGGGCAAUGGGCGAGAGUCUGAACCAGCCAAGUAGCGUGCAGGAUGACGGCCCUAUGGGUUGUAAAC